GAUGAACGCUAGCUACAGGCUUAACACAUGCAAGUCGAGGGGAAACGACAUUGAAAGCUUGCUUUUGAUGGGCGUCGACCGGCGCACGGGUGAGUAACGCGUAUCCAACCUGCCCACCACUUGGGGAUAACCUUGCGAAAGUAAGACUAAUACCCGAUGAUAUCCCUAGAAGACAUCUGAAAGGGAUUAAAGAUUUAUCGGUGAUGGAUGGGGAUGCGUCUGAUUAGCUUGUUGGCGGGGUAACGGCCCACCAAGGCGACGAUCAGUAGGGGUUCUGAGAGGAAGGUCCCCCACAUUGGAACUGAGACACGGUCCAAAACUCCUACGGGAGGCAGCAGUGAGGAAUAUUGGUCAAUGGGCGAGAGCCUGAAACCAGCCAAGUAGCGUGCAGGAUGACGGCCCUAUGGGUUGUAAACUGCUUUUAUAAGGGAAUAAAGUUAGUCUCGUGAGACUUUUUGCAUGUACCUUAUGAAUAAGGACCGGCUAAAUUCCGUGCCAG
rnacentral:rRNA from 1 species